GAGGAUGGAAAUCAGGUUUUCAGGAAAAGAAGGUUUUCUUGGGAUCAGCCCAGCCAAGACUGGACUUCACCUCAGCUGUGUGUGUGUGUGUGUGUGUGUGUGUGUGUGUGUGUGAGAGAGAGAGAGAGAAAGAGAGAGAGAGAGAGAGAGAGAGAGAGAGAGAGAGAGAGAGAGAGAGAGAGAGAGAGAGAGAGAGAGAGAAAGAGCAUCUGGGGAGGGGAGAGAAAGAAUCCAAGAACUUCUCUUCAUAAAGUAUCGAGAGGUCCAGGGAACUUCCGUGCCUGGUUGACAGAUUCAAGAGAAUGGACUUAUUGUGGAACUUCCAUUUCUGUGAACCUUAAAGAGAGGCAGCUUUCUUUCUUUUUCUCAUUCUUUUCUGGACUCCUUCACCUUUACCUUUGUGCCUUCUGGUAUAGUGUGGAGAGCUAGAAGAUAAGAGUUCUCCUUCCCACUUACCCUGAAGUAGUUGAAGACUAUUUGCAGCGUAAAUGACAUUAUUUUGCCUGGUGGCUUGAGAGAGAAGUUAUGGGACUUCAAGUUCCUGGCUAUCUUCUGCCUUUCAUUUUUCUUUUAUGGGAAAAAUCAGAAAUGAAAAUUUGAGAAUGGACUUUCCCAUGUCAAGAAAUGAUAGCAGUUGAGACACAAGGAGUUUUCCUAGGGAACCACAUAACAAAAAUGAUGUGUGAUGACAUAUUUGAUCCACAUUCCAGGUUCGCAAGAGCAACAGGUUAGUGACUAGACUAUCUUUGGAAAUUUUUAAGCUGGAGUCUUUGAAUUGGUUUUAAAAAUAUUUUGAAAAUUGUAUUUCAAGUUUUCUUUGUAAUUCAAUGUAUUUUAUCUUUUGCUUUUAAAAACAUUAUUCUGAGAAGGGGCUUUACUAGAUUGCCAAAAGGGUAUGUGACAUACAAACACAAAUGCUAAAAACUCUUAUUCUAGGCAGGAAAGGGAGUUUCCUGAUGCAGGCUCUGCUUGGGAGAAAGAAGAGCACCGUCCAUAUCCUUCUUGAGUAGUACCCUAUCUGGAAAGCAGAGCCAGUGAGUUAUUCAGACAGAGGUCUUAAGGGAAAAGAACAGUUUGUGUAGUAAUCCACAAAGUGUGGUGACAUUCCAGAGAAGUGAUGCAUCUAAGCCACUUUGUGUUCAGGAGCCUGGGUGAAGCUCUAUAGGACUCUGGGGAAAGGAGGAACUCAUCAGGAUGUCAAAGGGUUGUUCCAAAGCAGCCUCAACUUUCCUUCUUUUCCAUGGGGAGCCAAUGGUCAAUCUGAGCUCUUGGUGUGUUUCUGUUUCUUUA
rnacentral:lncRNA from 1 species